GCACCGGGCUAACUACGUGGCCAGCAGCCGCGGUAAUACGUAGGGUGCAGCGUUGUCCGGAAUUAUUGGGCGUAAAGAGCUCGUAGGCGGCUUGUCGCGUCUGCUGUGAAAACCAGAGGCUCAACCUCUGGCCUGCAGUGGGUACGGGCAAGCUAGAGUGCGGUAGGGGAGAUUGGAAUUCCUGGUGUAGCGGUGGAAUGCGCAGAUAUCAGGAGGAACACCGAUGGCGAAGGCAGAUCUCUGGGCCGUAACUGACGCUGAGGAGCGAAAGCAUGGGGAGCGAACAGGAUUAGAUACCCUGGUAGUCCAUGCCGUAAACGUUGGGAACUAGAUGUAGGGCCUGUUCCACGGGUUCUGUGUCGUAGCUAACGCAUUAAGUUCCCCGCCUGGGGAGUACGGCCGCAAGGCUAAAACUCAAAGGAAUUGACGGGGGCCCGCACAAGCGGCGGAGCAUGCGGAUUAAUUCGAUGCAACGCGAAGAACCUUACCAAGGCUUGACAUAUACGAGAACACUGUAGAGAUACAGGACUCUUUGGACACUCGUAAACAGGUGGUGCAUGGUUGUCGUCAGCUCGUGUCGUGAGAUGUUCGGUUAAGUCCGGCAACGAGCGCAACCCUCGUCCUAUGUUGCCAGCACGUGAUGGUGGGAACUCAUGGGAUACUGCCGUGGUCAACACGGAGGAAGGUGGGGAUGACGUCAAAUCAUCAUGCCCCUUAUGUCUUGGGCUUCACGCAUGCUACAAUGGCCGAUACAAAGGGUUGCGAUACCGUGAGGUGGAGCGAAUCCCAAAAAGUCGGUCUCAGUUCGGAUUGGGGUCUGCAACUCGACCCCAUGAAGUCGGAGUCGCUAGUAAUCGCAGAUCAGCAACGCUGCGGUGAAUACGUUCCCGGGCCUUGUACACACCGCCCGUCAAGUCAUGAAAGUCGGUAACACCCGAAGCCGGUGGCCUAACCCUUGUGGAGGGAGCUUCGUUGUGAC
rnacentral:rRNA from 1 species